AUACGUAGGGGGCGAGCGUUGUCCGGAAUGAUUGGGCGUAAAGGGCGCGUAGGCGGCUUUGCAAGUCAGUAGUGGAAGUCCAUUUUUCAAGGAUGGAAGUGCUACAGAAACUGCGGAGCUUGAGUGCAGGAGGGGUUAUCGGAAUUCCCGGUGUAGCGGUGAAAUGCGUAGAGAUCGGGAGGAACACCAGUGGCGAAGGCGGGUAACUGGACUGCAACUGACGCUGAGGCGCGAAAGUGUGGGGAGCAAACAGGAUUAGAUACCCUGGUAGUCCACGCCGUAAACGAUGAGUGCUAGGUGUUGGGGGUCAAACCUCGGUGCCGCAGCUAACGCAUUAAGCACUCCGCCUGGGGAGUACGUACGCAAGUAUGAAACUCAAAGGAAUUGACGGGG
rnacentral:rRNA from 1 species